rnacentral:rRNA from 1 species
UAGGGAAUCUUCCGCAAUGGACGCAAGUCUGACGGAGCAACGCCGCGUGAGUGAAGAAGGAUUUCGGUUCGUAAAACUCUGUUGUUAGAGAAGAACAGCGCAUAGAGUAACUGUUAUGCGUGUGACGGUAUCUAACCAGAAAGCCACGGCUAACUACGUGCCAGCAGCCGCGGUAAGACGUAGGUGGCAAGCGUUGUCCGGAUUUAUUGGGCGUAAAGCGAGCGCAGGCGGUCAAUUAGGUCUGAUGUGAAAGCCCCCGGCUAAACCGGUGAGGGUCAUUGGAAACUGGUUGACUUGAGUGCAGAAGAGGAGAGUGGAAUUCCAUGUGUAGCGGUGAAAUGCGUAGAUAUAUGGAGGAACACCAGUGGCGAAGGCGACUCUCUGAUCUGUAACUGACGCUGAGGCUCGAAAGCGUUGGUAGCAAACAGG